UUUUUAAAUUAAUGUGCAAAAUCUAAUUUUAAAAUACUUUAUUUUUAGUGUCGUUCCAGUUUGCGUCACAACCUUUCCGAUAUAUGGCUGCGCAGGUUUGCUGCAGUGAGUGUCUCACAAACCUGGGAAAUAUGAUUGCAAAAUGGCAAAUCUAUAAUCCCUAAUUUAAGUUCUGUCAAGAGGUAGAGCCCUGGAUAUAUUGUUUUUCCUAGUUUUGAAGUAGUUUUGUUUACAAUUGUUUCUCUCGUCUGCCAUCCCUACCUGCUUCCUGUGCUGCGUCCUCUCCAUAUUGUACUUACAAAUUCUUGGCCUUCUGUUAUGAGUGCCAGUUUUGCUUAAUUCAAUAGACGUAUGACACUGCCCCCUUGUGGCGCCACAUUACAUAACACGAUCGGACUUGAUAAGUAUAGAAGUGGAUUAAAGCACACCUUUAUAGUGCCGUAAUAGUAUGACGACUUGAUCUUUAGCAACUGCUAUGUAAAAGGCUACGGAAUUAGCAGCAAUACUUGAAAGUACACAUUUCAAGGGGGCUUAUUUCCUAUAAUUCUGUUAACGCUGCUUCAGUUGGUCUGUAAGAACCAAAAUUCAAUGUCCACAGUGAUCACUGUACAGAAAGCGGCAUCUCUGGGACAAACCCCUACCCUUUAUACAAUGUGCUCCCAUACCGGCCCUUUAAGGACUCAUUCUGCAGGGAUAGCGUAUAGCACAUUUUCUGAAAUUACCCUUAGGAGAAUGUAGUACUCUCAGAUAAUUUGUGCCUGGAUUUGCUGUUUCUACUGUUUGACAGGGUGACCACAACACUCUUAAUGGAUAAUGGGAGCAGUAGUCCACCUCAGUAACCUCUUUAACACGCCGGGGAGAGAAUACCAUGAAUGAAUUAUAAACAAGGCUAGAACAGGAUUUGCCUGCCCAAAAUUGUGUGUGUACAGGAAGUUUGAAUUGCUUUAUUUUCCUCUCUGUGUCGUAUAUCAGAUAUUUUAUUUGUGCAUAUGGCAAGCUGGUAAAAGUAGUGGAGAUUUUCCACCUCUAUAGCGAUGUUUUAAAAUCUAUUUCUGGCCAAACGCUGAGAAAGACUUUGAAUGUUUUUACAAGCAAAGAUCAGAGUGUUAGACAUUUUUAGUUUAAUCAAACCAUUAUAGUGUACUUAUUUUAAGUUAAAAUUGUGAAAAUACAUUUCAGGCUAGGGCUGCUGAAAAAAGCACCAUAUAAUGGGUUUAAAAUAUUAAAUUCCUUUCAGUGCUGCAGGCCAGUUUAUUAAUAUGCUAUUACCCCGAGUAUUAUUGAAGUAAACCGGUCUUUUUGAUAUGAAGUGGUGGUUAGAAUACAAUCUACAUGUUUGUUUGUUUUUGUCAUUCCUGUGCCCCCUAAUUUUGCAUGUGGUGUGUGAUUGCACAUCUUUGUUGGGAUUCUAUGUUUGGGGUGGGCAUCUUUGGAAGCAUUUAUAAUAUAUCACCUGUAUGACCACAUCAUUAAUUACAUUAAAGGGGAGCAGUAACUGCUUAAUAUCAUUGAAGUGGUUGUAGGGCUAAUUAAAGUGUCGAUUUUGCAACACACUUAAGAUACCUGUAUAAAUGAGAUUGCUACUUUACCUAGGCUCUCUUUUUGGAGGGAGAAGGAUUUAUACCCGCAUACUAAAGUUCUGGAAAAAGAUGCCCUUUUUUUCCCCUAUUAAUUAUUCAGUGUUUUGUUUUAUUUCUGUUGAUUCAGUGUAAAUUAGUAUUCUCCCUGACCCAGUAACCCACACUAUGGGUAUUCGAUGUAUAAAGAAUAAGACUUGUCUCCUGCCGUUUUGUGGGUUAUUUGACUCAUUAUCUUCAUUUUAAUCUCUGACCUGCAGGCAAAUGUUUUAUAAACAGUAGUCCCAUGAUGCCUUACUACUUUGCCACCCCUGAACCACACUGUAUAGCAAUAGAUGCAGGCUGUUUGUAAACCAUGACAAAGAAUAGCCUUUUAUGAUAUUCACAGCUGUUUUCUAAUAAAAGAAUUCAAGGCCUAGUUCGGUUCCUCUUAGUACAUUGCUAUCUCAUGCAGCAUUUGUUUUUAAAUAGUAAUGAUUGGAAGAAAACAAAAUCCUAUUUGCACUUAAUGUUACUUUUCUGCUCUUAUGACAUUUCUAUGCAAAAAAAUAGUUUUUCUGCAGUUAGAUCUGGUCUGAAGCAACUUUUCAGUGAAAAAGUCUAUUUUCAUAUUUAUGAAGUUCUAUCAAGUCUUAAACUGUCCAUUUUUGUAAAUAACUGAGCUGUAAUUAAUUCAAGGACUUUGUGAUGUAAUUACGUCUGAGAUUCUGUUUGUAACACUGCCAGUGAAUCUUGUUUUCUCUGACUUUUUUUCUUGUAUAUUUGCAUCAGUACCGGUCAAUGCGUUGAGAUUUUGCUAAUGAAUUGUUUCUUCACAGAAACCGUAUAUACACAGAUUUGGGGCUAAAUAUUUGACAUUUUUACUUUUUUGUGUAUAGUAAUUUCAUUCUUUCAGAUUAAAAGAUCUACAAUUA